rnacentral:rRNA from 1 species
UACGUAGGGUGCGAGCGUUGUCCGGAAUUAUUGGGCGUAAAGGGCUCGUAGGCGGUUUGUCGCGUCGGGCGUGAAAACCCAGGGCUUAACCCUGGGCUGGCUUUCGAUACGGGCAGACUAGAGGUAUGCAGGGGAGAACGGAAUUCCUGGUGUAGCGGUGAAAUGCGCAGAUAUCAGGAGGAACACCGGUGGCGAAGGCGGUUCUCUGGGCAUUACCUGACGCUGAGGAGCGAAAGUGUGGGGAGCGAACAGG